GAUGAACGCUGGCGGCGUGCCUAAUACAUGCAAGUCGAGCGAACAGAUGAGGAGCUUGCUCCUCUGACGUUAGCGGCGGACGGGUGAGUAACACGUGGAUAACCUACCUAUAAGACUGGGAUAACUUCGGGAAACCGGAGCUAAUACCGGAUAAUAUAUUGAACCGCAUGGUUCAAUAGUGAAAGACGGUUUUGCUGUCACUUAUAGAUGGAUCCGCGCCGCAUUAGCUAGUUGGUAAGGUAACGGCUUACCAAGGCAACGAUGCGUAGCCGACCUGAGAGAGGGGUCGGCGACAUGGGAGGUGAGACGGGGACAAGGCGCCUGCGGGAGGCAGCAGUAGGGAAUCUGCCGCAGUGGGCGGGAGCAUGACGGAGCAACGGGGAGUGAGAGGUGGAGAUGUUGGGAUCGUAAAAAUCGGUUAUUAGGGAAAAACAAAUGUGUAAGUAAAUAUGCACGUCUUGACGGUAAUUGAUCAGAAAGCCACGGCUAACUACGUG
rnacentral:rRNA from 1 species